CGAACCAAACAUUCCUUUUCUCCUUCAACCAACAGCCCUAACGUCACCACCCACCCCAUCGCCGCCACCCUUGUCACGUCCGUCACCUCACCACCACCACACCCAUCAGACCACGGAAUCAAGCACCCGACUCUUUCGUUAACCCAAAAACGUUGAAAUCUGUUGGGUUGAAGCUUUCCUCGCCUCCACUGCUACCACGUCUCUUUUCCCUUUGAUUGACGUGGUGGCAGAGCCGAAGGGAGUCGAUAUAGGUCGUUUCAACCUCUGUAGAAGAGGAGUGCAACGAACCGCUAGUUACAAGCUCGAACCCUCCUUCGAUUCGGUGGGUAAUGGGGGAAUCUACCAUGUAUUAGACCCCAACGACCUUUUCCCUUCCCAAUCAGUCUGAAAAGAAAUUCUCGGUGGUUCUCGGCCAAACAAGCUCUUCAAGCGGAUUCGGAGACUCGGCGACGACGUUAACCUCAGUUCGCUGUCACGGAGAAGAUAAUCACAUUCGUCCUAUCUUCGUCUUUAAUUUUGUUAAAGUAGAAAUGUAUUCGUCAAGUAUUUCUCAUCGUUUAUUUGGUUUAGUUGGCUAGAUUGUGUUUGCUCCUCAUUUGUUGUAAAUUAGUGUAAUGCGACUAGUUUCGUCGAAUAUGUGUUCAACCCCAUCGCUGCUCUUGAAUAAGAUUUUUUUUAAGACAGGAUAAAAUUUGUUUAGUUUGGGGAUGAAGAUUACUGCGUUUGCGCUGUUUUAGUAUAGUUGUUCGUAUGACUUAGCUCUAAUUCAGAUCAGAUUCAGUUGAUGCCAACGUAGUUAUGAACUAGAAGCUUACAUGGUUGAAUUGGUUAACUUUGAGAAUUCGGUUCGAGUUUAUCAAAUGCUUUUUUUUCUUCAGUUCUUUGUGAUGAAUAUCGUUUGCUUAAUGUUAGUCAACUGUGAUAUUUUGCUUCUGCCUUUAGUUCUCUCAUUCACUUAGAAGUUAUAGGAUUAAGAGAAACAAUUCUCCUUCUUCAUUUUGGCAUUUUCACUUUCCAGUUCUGUCUAGUUAGUUUAGCUUAGUCUUCGAGUAAAUGUUUAGCUUUUUGUUAGCCUUGCGUGUGCGAAACAUGAAUCGAUGCUCAAUUUUUUUUGUUCUGUCCUUUUCUGUUUGAGUCGCAUGAGUAUGAUUGUAUCGAUUAACAUCGAACAUUCUGUGCUUAUGCCUAUCUACCUCUGAUAUAUGUUCUUGGUUUCCUUAUCAAAGUUUAACUAGUUUGAGGUCAAUCAUGUUUGUUUAGCAUAAAAGACAAUUAAAGAUGAGUUUAUGACUUAAGGUUUUAACAUACGAUAACAUUGUAACACCUUGACUAUACCCCUUUUCCCAAAACUGAUUUUUAGCAAGAAGGGAUUUAAACCAUGGUAUUUUUGUUUUAAAUAAGCCAUGUUUCAGCUUUGGAUGGAAUCAAGACCUGUGCAUUUUAAGAAACUCUUAGUAAACUUUCAUAUGAAGUAUUUGAUAGCAUGUCUACAUUGGAAACUAUCUUGAUCACUACCCUCUAAGAUGGCUAAAUAUGAUAUUGAACAAGAAGAUAUGUUAGAGGUCAUGCCCUUUGGAAGUUAGGAUCUGACCAUGAAUGGCCUAACUAGCUGCUUGUAUGCAAUGUGCUGUUGUGAUUCUUCUGUAUGUUUUGAGCCUUUAAACAAGAAGAGGAUUUUAGUUUAACCACCUAUUUAAUCAACUUAAGUGUACAAUAAGUUCUUUUGCUGAUAAUCUUCAGUUUUUCUCCCUUUCACUAAGUGAGACUCUGAUUCUUCCUUUCUGCUUUCAAGCUGGUUCAAAGUGUAAUCCGUAUUUUGUUUUCUUCAUGUCUAAACUCCUAUGUAGAACCUUCUCAAGAAAUAAUGGAGUGCUCUUAUUUUGGUGGUUGGAUUCUGUUCACGCAUUAGAUAAAGUAUGACUGUUCUGUGCUUGUGAUUCUCAUGCUCAGCUGCCUUAAGGUGGUAAGUUGAUGGUUUUUGAGGUCAACCAGGCAGAUCCUCCUUUACUCACAAACCAUGAGCUGUAUUUAAUAUGGUAUAUGUUUAUUUGAUCUUCCAUUUUAAGAGUGUCGAUUGAAACUUUUGAAAUCUAGCACUAAGCUUCUGUUUUAAUAUUGGAGUGGAAUAGUGGGCAUCCUGUUUGGGAAUUUUCUUUUACCUUUUGUCCUAAAAAUUAUCUCCUGUGUGUUCACUCAUGAAAGGAUUUCGAAAACUUGCUUGCUGGUUAGUAAUUCCCUACGCACAGAUUAUUAUUUGGUCUUGUUUGUUUUACUCCAUUUUUUUUGGGAUAAAAGCUGCUCUAAUCUUUUUCUUUCUCUCUUUCUUUUUCUGCAUGAAACACUUGGGGAGCGUUUGGAGUGAAGGCAACUCCGGAUUCUGCCCAGAUUCAGAGAAAAAAAAACAGUAGCUGCAUCCGCGCGCUCGUGCCUAACAGCCCUCGUCCACGUCUCGAGUCUCCAUCCCUCUUCCUCUCCUCAGAAUUUUAUCUUUUGUAUCAAUAUACAUGCUUUGACUAACGAUGAUACUAAUUUGGUGUUGUAUUUGUGCCUUUGUUGUUCUUGGUGGGGUUCGUAAGAACCAAUUUAGACACGAUAGUUAGACAUAGUCAUUUUUCUCCCCCCCCCCCCCCCCCCCCCCCCCCUCUCUUUAGGUAUUGAAUGUGGUAUUACUAAUUGACAUAGGUACACUUAAGAGUGAUGGUAUUUGCUAAAUGAUUUCCGGUUACCACUUGA